rnacentral:lncRNA from 1 species
UUCACCAUGGUCCACUGACAUUGUCUCUCCUUGUGAAGGCUGUUUCUUCUUACUUGGAUAAAUCUUUCUUGGCUUGUUAGGGUCUCCAGGUCGGUCACAAUAGAGAGAGUUAUGCCAUUCUGUCCCACAUCGAUAACAAUGGAUCUUCUUAAAGUGUCCUGAAACUUUUUUCCUUUUUGUAGGAGACUCAUGAACUGAUUUCUUCCUCUUCUGUGGAUUCUUAUUUCCACCUUUCUCUUUAGGUCUUGGCGGUGGUUCAAUGUGAGAACCAGGAGCAUCUUUCAAAAACUUCAUUCCUUCAACCGGAGUGAUUGAAUCAUUAUAUUUCUUCUUCCACAAAGUGGUCAAGG